rnacentral:rRNA from 1 species
CAGGGAUUGCCCUAGUAACGGCGAGUGAAGCGGCAACAGCUCAAAUUUGAAAUCUGGCCCUUGGGUCCGAAUUGUAAUUUGUAGAGGAUGUUUUUGGUGCGGUAUCUUCCGAGUUCCUUGGAACAGGACGCCUUAGAGGGUGAGAGCCCCGUACGGUUGAAUGCCUAGCCUUUGUAAAACUCCUUCGACGAGUCGAGUAGUUUGGGAAUGCUGCUCUAAAUGGGAGGUAAAUUUCUUCUAAAGCUAAAUACCGGCCAGAGACCGAUAGCGCACAAGUAGAGUGAUCGAAAGAUGAAAAGCACUUUGAAAAGAGGGUUAAAUAGCACGUGAAAUUGUUGAAAGGGAAGGAUUUAUGACCAGACUUUUUCUAGGCGAAUCAUCCGGUGUUCUCACCGGUGCACUUCGUUUAGUUUAGGCCAGCAUCGAUUUUCGGGGUGGGAUAAAAGCUUUAGGAAUGUGGCUCCCUCGGGAGUGUUAUAACCUAUUGUAUAAUACCGCCCUGGGGAUCGAGGUACGCGCUUCUGCAAGGAUGCUGGCGUAAUGGUUAUCAAUCACCCGUCUUGAAACACGGACCAAGGAGUCGAACAUUUGUGCAAGUGUUUGGGUGUUAAACCCUCACGCGUAAUGAAAGUGAACGGAGGUGAGAGCCCUUACGGGUGCAUCAUCGACCGAUCCUGAUGUCUUCGGAUGGAUUUGAGUAAGAGCAUAACUGUUCGGACCCGAAAGAUGGUGAACUAUGCGUGGAUAGGGUGAAGCCAGAGGAAACUCUGGUGGAGGCUCGCAGCGGUUCUGACGUGCAAAUCGAUCGUCAAAUCUGCGCAUGGGG